GCUGGGUGUGGUGGCUUGUACCUGUAAUCCCAGCUACUUGGGAGGCUGAGGCAGGAGGAUUGCUUGAGCCCAGGAGUUGGAGUCCAGCCUGGGCAACAUGGUGAGACCUUGUCUCUA
ensembl:misc_RNA Metazoa_SRP Metazoan signal recognition particle RNA